CGAAAACUGNGAAGNUGCAUGACCCGUGAACAAGUACCUAAACCGGGAUGGCAUCGGAUCGAUCCUUGGACCGUUCGGUGUUCGUCCUCGUUGGGUGUGCGUACGCGCUGCCCUCUCCGGGGGGCGUGAGUCUGCAUUACCCAGCACAACAACGAACCCCGGCGCGAUCCGCCAAGGAAAUUCAACAGAGAGAUCACGCUCCUGCUCCCGUUCUCGGGUUGCUCGGAGCGUAAGAAUCUUGCAUAUA
rnacentral:misc_RNA from 1 species